AUUACGGGGUGCAGCAGGCGCGAAAACUUCACACUGCGCGAAAGCGCGAUGAGGGAAUCCCAAGUGCUUGCACGUUAGUGUAAGCUGUUUCUAUGUUUAAAUUGCAUAGAGAGUAAGAGCUGGGUAAGACGGGUGCCAGCCGCCGCGGUAAUACCUGCAGCUCAAGUGGUGGCCGUUAUUAUUGGGCCUAAAACGUCCGUAGCCGGCUUGUUAAAUGCCUGGGUAAAUCGUAAAGCUUAACCUUACGAAUUCCGGGUAGACUGAUAGGCUUGGGACCGGGAGAAGCUAGAGGUACUCCUGGGGUAGAGGUGAAAUUCUGUAAUCCUAGGGGGACCACCAGUGGCGAAGGCGUCUAGCUAGAACGGGUUUGACGGUGAGGGACAAAGCCCUGGGGAGCAAACGGGAUUAGAUACCCCGGUAGUCCAGGGUGUAAACGCUGCUUGCUUGAUGUUAGUCGGGCUCCGAGCCCGAUUAGUGUCGGAGAGAAGUUGUUAAGCAAGCUGCCUGGGAAGUACGGCCGCAAGACUGAAACUUAAAGGAAUUGGCGGGGGAGCACAAU
rnacentral:rRNA from 1 species